rnacentral:rRNA from 1 species
GAUGAACGCUGGCGGCGUGCUUAAUACAUGCAAGUCGAGCGAAGCGCUUUAACGGAAUUCUUCGGAAGGAAGAUAAAGUGACUGAGCGGCGGACGGGUGAGUAACGCGUGGGUAACCUGCCUCAUACAGGGGGAUAACAGUUAGAAAUGGCUGCUAAUACCGCAUAAGCGCACAGGACCGCAUGGUCUGGUGUGAAAAACUCCGGUGGUAUGGGAUGGACCCGCGUUGGAUUAGGUAGUUGGUGGGGUAACGGCCUACCAAGCCGACGAUCCAUAGCCGGCCUGAGAGGGUGGACGGCCACAUUGGGACUGAGACACGGCCCAGACUCCUACGGGAGGCAGCAGUAGGGAAUAUUGCACAAUGGGGGAAACCCUGAUGCAGCGACGCCGCGUGAAGGAAGAAGUAUCUCGGUAUGUAAACUUCUAUCAGCAGGGAAGACAAUGACGGUAC